GGGUGCUAUCAUCUCUCUGGGGCUUCUGAAUGUUUUCCUGCUGAUUGGACUCAUCAGCCUUGGUGUUUUCUUUCAUGAUGCAGGCAGCUUGGCAGCAGAUCUCACCGACACCAAAGACAAUCAGAUUGAUCGUCUGCAGGACACCAAUAACCAGCUUUCUGCAAUGAUUGAAGAAAGAGACCGUCUGAAUGCAACCCUCACAGAAAUGUCUAACGAGAUGAUCAGGCUUCAGAGUUUGUUGAAGAAAAAGAAAACCUGUCCUGCAGGAUGGAUGAUGUUCAACUCUUCUUGUUAUUUC